UACGAAGGGGGCUAGCGUUGCUCGGAAUCACUGGGCGUAAAGCGCACGUAGGCGGAUCUUUAAGUCAGGGGUAAAAUCCUGGAGCUCAACUCCAGAACUGCCUUUGAUACUGAGGAUCUUGAGUCCGGGAGAGGUGAGUGGAACUCCGAGUGUAGAGGUGAAAUUCGUAGAUAUUCGGAAGAACACCAGUGGCGAAGGCGGCUCACUGGCCCGGUACUGACGCUGAGGUGCGAAAGCGUGGGGAGCAAACAGG
rnacentral:rRNA from 1 species